GAUAAACGCUGGCGGCGUGCCUAAUACAUGCAAGUCGAGCGAACAGACGAGGAGCUUACUCCUCUGACGUUAGCGGCGGACGGGUGAGUAACACGUGGAUAACCUACCUAUAAGACUGGGAUAACUUCGGGAAACCGGAGCUAAUACCGGAUAAUAUAUUGAACCGCAUGGUUCAAUAGUGAAAGACGGUUUUGCUGUCACUUAUAGAUGGAUCCGCGCCGCAUUAGCUAGUUGGUAAGGUAACGGCUUACCAAGGCGACGAUGCGUAGCCGACCUGAGAGGGUGAUCGGCCACACUGGAACUGAGACACGGUCCAGACUCCUACGGGAGGCAGCAGUAGGGAAUCUUCCGCAAUGGGCGAAAGCCUGACGGAGCAACGCCGCGUGAGUGAUGAAGGUCUUCGGAUCGUAAAACUCUGUUAUUCGGGAAGAACAAAUGUGUAAGUAACUAUGCACGUCUUGACGGUACCUAAUCAGAAAGCCACGGCUAACUCCGUG
rnacentral:rRNA from 1 species